rnacentral:rRNA from 1 species
GACGAACGCUGGCGGCGUGCUUAACACAUGCAAGUCGAACGGUAAGGCUCCAGCUUGCUGGGGUACACGAGUGGCGAACGGGUGAGUAACACGUGGGUGACCUGCCCUGCACUUCGGGAUAAGCCUGGGAAACUGGGUCUAAUACCGGAUAGGACCGCACCGUGAGGGUGUGGUGGAAAGUUUUUUCGGUGUGGGAUGGGCCCGCGGCCUAUCAGCUUGUUGGUGGGGUAAUGGCCUACCAAGGCGGCGACGGGUAGCCGGCCUGAGAGGGUGGACGGCCACAUUGGGACUGAGACACGGCCCAGACUCCUACGGGAGGCAGCAGUGGGGAAUAUUGCACAAUGGGCGGAAGCCUGAUGCAGCGACGCCGCGUGGGGGAUGACGGCCUUCGGGUUGUAAACUCCUUUCACCAUCAACGAAGGGUUUCUGACGGUAGAUGGAGAAGAAGCACCGGCUAACUACGUG